GCUCACAUAACAGAAAUAUGACCCUUGUGCACCUUUUGUAGUUAAUUCAUUAGGUCAACUGUAACCACUAAGCCCCUUGUCAGGUUAUUUCUACAAGUGAUAAGGAGCAAUAGACCUUAAAACUUUGAAGCCAGGUAGAUGAGCUUAUUCCACAAGGUCUCUUGGCUUCACCCUUGUUAAGUGCAACCUGCCAGGUGUGGGUCAUUUGACCUUUGUUAUAUAGGAAGCCUGAGGACGGGUGGGGGAAUUGCCUCCCCAGGAGAAACUGAGGCUUGGGUAGCCUAGGGUGUUUUUCUCUCGUGGUGAAUCGGGCUCAGUGUUCCCUACUAGGCUGCUUUUCCUUCAAGUUUUCUGCCCUCUCUGUGAAAUAGUUUUAGAGACUCUAUGAGCCAGUUACAUUGGUGGUGCCUUCUUCAGAAGAACCCUGGUGGGACUAUUUCACUGCGAAGCACGUUGGAAGUGACUCGAGUUCAGGAGACAGCAGGUGGCUUCUAAGCUCCCUUCCAAGCACUGGAGGAAAAAAAAGGCCUCAGAAGUCCAAGUGCACACAGGUUCGGUACCCUGAAUCCGACCGGUCCCAUAACGGUUAAUCAGCUACACCCCUUAAUGCGACACUAAUGAAGGAGCACGGAAGAGACGCAUGUCCUUACCUCUGGAGAGGAGGUUCCUUGCACAGCCAGUGCAAGGAACACAAAAAUCAGUUGCGCCAGACUAACGUGGUUGUAUCUGAGCUUGGAGGCUGCAACCCUCUUCAGACUUCCAGAUCUAGAGGAACACUUUGGCUGCAGCCUAAAAGCCACGUGUACAGGAGCUCCCCCAAGCCAGCCAAUCUUCUUCCCAUGACCUGCCAGGAAACAGCAAGGUAGGCAUGUACCCAAAUCAAAACCCAAACCUUUGGCCCAGUCCUUGACCUGAAUAGUGAGUGACGAUCCGGAUCCUGGCAUUCAUACCUGACAGCUUAUACGCAGUGGAAGUAAACAGUGUAGUCAGAGGUCACGGGGCUAGAUUUUGGAAAGUCCUGCAUCAAGAAGACAUCUCAGAAAAGCAAAUUUAAAUACCAUUAAUGCCAAGAAAAGUAACUCUGAUGGCUAUAUUCUUUAUGUGUCAUGACUAGACAGAUGAAAAACUAUGAGAGCAAUUUUGCCUUUAAGGUCAUUUUCUUUUUUCUUUGAUGUCUUUUCUUUCGUUUGUUUGUCUGUUUGUUUGUUUAUUUAUUUAUUUAAACAGGCUCUGUACUACUUGUCCUCACAGAAUGACUAACAGAAAUAUGACCCUUGUGCACUUUUUGUAGUUAAUUCAUUAGGUCAGCUCUAACCACUAAGCCCCUUGUCAGGUUAUUUCUAGUAGUGACAAGGAGCAAUUAA